rnacentral:rRNA from 1 species
ACGAACGCUGGCGGCGUGCUUAACACAUGCCAGUCGCACGGAAAGGCCCUGCUUUUGUGGGGUGCUCGAGUGGCGAACGGGUGAGUAACACGUGAGUAACCUGCCCUUGACUUUGGGAUAACUUCAGGAAACUGGGGCUAAUACCGGAUAGGAGCUCCUGCUGCAUGGUGGGGGUUGGAAAGUUUCGGCGGUUGGGGAUGGACUCGCGGCUUAUCAGCUUGUUGGUGGGGUAGUGGCUUACCAAGGCUUUGACGGGUAGCCGGCCUGAGAGGGUGACCGGCCACAUUGGGACUGAGAUACGGCCCAGACUCCUACGGGAGGCAGCAGUGGGGAAUAUUGCACAAUGGGCGGAAGUCUGAUGCAGCAACGCCGCGUGCGGGAUGACGGCCUUCGGGUUGUAAACCGCUUUCGCCUGUGACGAAGCGUGAGUGACGGUAAUGGGUAAAGAAGCACCGGCUAACUACGUG